UCUGUUAUUGGAUAUAACUCUAUACUGUAUAGACUAUAGAUAAUAUAGAUCUGUUAUUGGAUAUAACUCUAUACUGUAUAGACUAUAGAUAAUAUAGAUCUGUUAUUGGAUAUAACUCUAUACUGUAUAGACUAUAGAUAAUAUAGAUCUGUUAUUGGAUAUAACUCUAUACUGUAUAGACUAUAGAUAAUAUAGAUCUGUUAUUGGAUAUAACUCUAUACUGUAUAGACUAUAGAUAAUAUAGAUCUGUUAUUGGAUAUAACUCUAUACUGUAUAGAUAAUAUAGAUCUGUUAUUGGAUAUAACUCUAUACUGUAUGGCUCAGAUGAACUCUCACUGUUAUUCACUGUCUCAGUUUACGUCCCAAAUGGCACACUAUUCAGUGCCCUACUUUUGACCAAGACCUAUAGGGCUCUGGUCAAAAGGUAGUGCACUAGAGAAGGAUCCAAUCAAAUGUAUUUAUAAAGCCCUUCGUACAUCAGCUGAUAUCUCAAAGUGCUGUACAGAAACCCAGCCUAAAACCCCCAAACAGCCAGCAAUGCAGGUGUAGAAGCACGGUGGAGCAUUACGGCCUAAAACCCCCAAACAGUAAGCAAUGCAGGUGUAGAAGCACUGUGGAGCAUUACGGCCUAAAACCCCCAAACAGCAAGCAAUGCAGGUGUAGAAGCACUGUGGAGCAUUACGGCCUAAAACCCCCAAACAGGAAGCAAUGCAGGUGUAGAAGCACUGUGGAGCAUUACGGCCUAAAACCCCCAAACAGCCAGUAAUGCAGGUGUAGAAGCACGGUGGAGCAUUACGGCCUAAAACCCCCAAACAGCCAGCAAUGCAGGUGUAGAAGCACUGUGGAGCAUUACGGCCUAAAACCCCCAAACAGGAAGCAAUGCAGGUGUAGAAGCACUGUGGAGCAUUACGGCCUAAAACCCCCCAAACAGGAAGCAAUGCAGGUGUAGAAGCACUGUGGAGCAUUACGGCCUAAAACCCCCAAACAGCAAGCAAUGCAGGUGUAGAAGCACGGUGGAGCAUUACGGCCUAAAACCCCCAAACAGCAAGCAAUGCAGGUGUAGAAGCACGGUGGAGCAUUACGGCCUAAAACCCCCAAACAGCCAGCAAUGCAGGUGUAGAAGCACGGUGGAGCAUUACGGCCUAAAACCCCCAAACAGCCAGCAAUGCAGGUGUAGAAGCACUGUGGAGCAUUACGGCCUAAAACCCCCAAACAGGAAGCAAUGCAGGUGUAGAAGCACUGUGGAGCAUUACGGCCUAAAACCCCCAAACAGCAAGCAAUGCAGGUGUAGAAGCACUGUGGAGCAUUACGGCCUAAAACCCCCAAACAGCAAGCAAUGCAGGUGUAGAAGCACUGUGGAGCAUUACGGCCUAAAACCCCCAAACAGCAAGCAAUGCAGGUGUAGAAGCACUGUGGAGCAUUACGGCCUAAAACCCCCCAAACAGGAAGCAAUGCAGGUGUAGAAGCACUGUGGAGCAUUACGGCCUAAAACCCCCAAACAGGAAGCAAUGCAGGUGUAGAAGCACUGUGGAGCAUUACGGCCUAAAACCCCCCAAACAGGAAGCAAUGCAGGUGUAGAAGCACUGUGGAGCAUUACGGCCUAAAACCCCCAAACAGGAAGCAAUGCAGGUGUAGAAGCACUGUGGAGCAUUACGGCCUAAAACCCCCAAACAGGAAGCAAUGCAGGUGUAGAAGCACUGUGGAGCAUUACGGCCUAAAACCCCCAAACAGCCAGCAAUGCAGGUGUAGAAGCACGGUGGAGCAUUACGGCCUAAAACCCCCAAACAGCCAGCAAUGCAGGUGUAGAAGCACUGUGGAGCAUUACGGCCUAAAACCCCCAAACAGGAAGCAAUGCAGGUGUAGAAGCACUGUGGAGCAUUACGGCCUAAAACCCCCAAACAGCAAGCAAUGCAGGUGUAGAAGCACUGUGGAGCAUUACGGCCUAAAACCCCCAAACAGCAAGCAAUGCAGGUGUAGAAGCACUGUGGAGCAUUACGGCCUAAAACCCCCAAACAGCAAGCAAUGCAGGUGUAGAAGCACUGUGGAGCAUUACGGCCUAAAACCCCCAAACAGCAAGCAAUGCAGGUGUAGAAGCACUGUGGAGCAUUACGGCCUAAAACCCCCAAACAGCAAGCAAUGCAGGUGUAGAAGCACUGUGGAGCAUUACGGCCUAAAACCCCCAAACAGCAAGCAAUGCAGGUGUAGAAGCACUGUGGAGCAUUACGGCCUAAAACCCCCAAACAGCAAGCAAUGCAGGUGUAGAAGCACUGUGGAGCAUUACGGCCUAAAACCCCCAAACAGCAAGCAAUGCAGGUGUAGAAGCACGGUGGAGCAUUACGGCCUAAAACCCCCAAACAGCAAG